CGCGUCCCGUAAAUGUCCUUUGCACGGUAGCACACCUAUAAACGAGGGAAUGGCUGGCGGGACUCUCAUAUUUGGUGUUUCUGCUGGUCCAAAAAUGCUUAUUUUUACGUUUAUGAGAAUGCCCUCAGGAAGAGAGUGAAACGGAGACUCAGUUUGACUGGUGAGUGACUGCCACAGGAUUCACACGCGGCGUAGACGAAGGGCACUGGGCGUGCAGAGCCACUGUUGAUAGCCAAAGGCGCGGGAAGGGUCAGCAGACAACGCCCAGGGCUGCUCCCACCAGGAGCACGCAAGCCAAUCAAAACGUGCUGCCUUUGGGCGAGAGGAGCCGGGCGAGGAGCGCCAUCUAGCGGCCCCCGCGAGUUCUGUUUGUGACGGAACUGCUGUGGAACCGGCCGUGAACCUGCUCCUCGCGGAAGGUCAGAGCCGGGAAGAAAUCCAAAGCUUUGGAAAUAAAACCCGAAGUGCCAAAGGACAGCGUGUGGGGCCCUAGACACGUGUGAAACAGAGGCAGAGACGAGAGUCAUCAUCAGCCAGCCAAAGACCCCUCUCCCUGAUGGCUCUGAGUCACCUCCUGUGUGGAACUGAGUGAUCCACAUGUGCAGGCAACAGAUGGCAACACCAGCAAGAGUGUCUGACAGCUAGAUGUGUGCGUGUAAUUAGCUGGAGUCCCUACAUGAUUCAAUAACCCCACGUGGGACCUCAUGUAGAGAUAAGGGAUGGAGUCAGACAGAUGGAG
rnacentral:lncRNA from 1 species